CGGAUGAACGCUAGCGACAGGCCUAACACAUGCAAGUCGAGGGGCAUCGGGACGUAGCAAUACGUUGCCGGCGACCGGCGGAUGGGUGAGUAACGCGUAUGCAACCUACCCGUAGCAGGGGGAUAGCCCGUUGAAAGACGGAUUAAUACCCCGUAACACAGGGGCUCCGCAUGGAGAUUAUUGUUAAAGGGUCAUUUCUUUUUCAGGGAUGGUCCGGCUGCGGAUGGGCAUGCGUUCCAUUAGGUAGUUGGUGUAGGUAACUGCUCACCAAGCCGACGAUGGAUAGGGGAACUGAGAGGUUGGUCCCCCACACUGGUACUGAGACACGGACCAGACUCCUACGGGAGGCAGCAGUGAGGAAUUUUGGUCAAUGGACGCAAGUCUGAACCAGCCAUGUCGCGUGAAGGAGGACGGCCCUAAGGGUUGUAAACUUCUUUUGCAGUGGAAUAAAGUUUGCCACGUGUUGGCGAUUUGCAAGUACGCUGCGAAUAAGGAUCGGCUAACUCCGUG
rnacentral:rRNA from 1 species